CAGUCACAACAUUACGAAUAAUACGUGGACACCAAUUUUCUCCACCUGGGGUACAUUUCGUAAUGUCUGAUGUUAGGGCCUAUGGCCUCAUCCUGGAAAGGUCUUGUUUUGUCAUAUAGAAAUAUCAGUUCGGCAUCAGUUUCGUGAACAGGAGUUACAUGAUAUUGGUGGCAGGUUGCGAGCACUUCCCGAUUUUGGGCCAACGUUUUUCUGCAAACGUCCUAGAGUCGUCAGAGGCGGAGCGUUAAGACUCAUCACAGUACCAGUUCGGUCAAUUUCGGCUAAACGGCUUUCAAACGACUCAACGGCUUUCUGGAGACGUACACAGAAUAAAUUUGUGAUACACAGGACGCAUCGGACGUACUUUUUCGCUUGUGACAUCGUACAAUUUCCCGAGGACGGACGGAUCAAAGACCAUCGAUUCAGUUCACAGAAGACUUCAGUAAAAUUGAUCUGUGGUUUGAAGAUAGUACCACUCUCUCGCAGACGGGUAAGGGCAUCUGCAGCUGCGUGCGUAUUUGCCGAGAGAUUUAAGUAAAAUCACAACACAUCCCCGUAGACGGACUGAGUUUCGGACAUCCAUCCGAAUUUCAGUGCAAGUGGCGACAUUCUGCGGCAGGACAAUCGAAAAUGCCUUCACCACCGCCGAAGACAAACAUAAAAUGGAAUAUGGAUAGACGGAUUUACAUCGGUAACAUGGGUGACGGGGCGAAUAAGGAAGAGAUCUUGGAUGUGUGCAGUAAGUUUGGGGCAGUGAAACACGUGUGGGUGGCGAGGAAACCAGCCGGAUUCGCUUUUGUCGAAUUCUUCGACAAGCGCGCAGCGGAGGAAGCUGCGGAUGAGUUGGAUGAAAAAUGGAUCAAUGGACACAGAGUCUGUGUUGAGAUGUCGACAGGCGAGCCAAAGUUUGCAGCAGACGGGAGACCCCGCGUUGGAAACGGUAUGCGCCGGUCUCCCACCCUCUCCUCGGCCCAAAUAGCCCCGCGACAGAGGCACAAUCAAGACAGCAGGCGACCCCAAACUUCAAGGUAUAGGCUACAAGUAGUUUAUGCAGCACUCCACAACUAUAAUUGUGUUGAAAUUGGUGAAUCAUACAAGACGAGUCGAGCUUCACAAAUCUAUUUUGGCAGCUGUCGCCAUAUAUCUGGGACCAUCUGGGCCGAUUUCUGCUCUCAUGAACAAUCAUGGGACAAGUUUACAAAUCAAUACUCAGGCACUGAAAACCAUACCCACGUCUGGUCGAUGUCAAUCGUUCAGAGAUCACGUUUAAUAUCCUGCGCCAUUCUACGAACUGGUAAAAAGAGGGCUGAGUAGAUUGUACUUGCUACCGAUGUUACUUGUGAACCUCACCUUCCGUCUUAAGACGCGUUAGCUCUGUUGGUGGAAGCUGGCUACACCGUAUUAGCUGUCGACUUGACAUUUUUUCUUUUCAUCAAAUCCUAGGUUUGACGUAUAUUUGGACGAAGUGACACGGUUGCACUACGGUUUCAGUCCCGUACUCUUCAGAUCUGUCUAUGACAGUUUUUGUCUCUGAUCCACACAAACCAAGCCUAUCUGACCGAAAUUAAUUCCGCAUCAACUUCUAUCGCACACACACGCACACUAUACACUCUGGGAAUUCGGACAUGUGGUCUGAUAUUGACUAGCCUAAGUCACAAAACACUCAAACCAGCAAAGCUCCCCGCCUGCAAAUACACUCCAAACUUCGUUGCACAAUCUAUCUACAACUUCUGACUUUCUUCUCUCCGGACCAAUACUUCAUCUACAAAAGAACAAACCUCCAAAUUGCUCCAUAAAAUGUACUGCCAACAACAGCUGAUCUUUUAUUGAUACAGCAUGUGUCCCUUCAUGUUUUGAAGGACAAACAACGACAAGCAUUCAAGUCAAGAUAUGUAUUGCCGAGACAGCAGCUGCGCCUGCCACUGUCACUGCAGCGUCGGUAGGGAGAUUCCACCUGGAUCGCGGACACGUGGGAGACGGAUCAGGAGCAGGGAGAAACAGAUACGGAACGGGGACAGGGCUGGCCGUCAAGACAGGACGAGGCCACGGGCGUACAGAAGCCGCAGCAGGAGUCAUAGCAGGAGCGCGGGAAGACGUAGUAGACACGACAGCGAUGAUAGUGAUAGUCGAAGCAGUAGGAGUAAAAGUCGCGACAAUCAUUUUGGGGGAAGACCAAGUGGAACACCAAGUUAUGAUCGGUCUCGAUUGCGCCCCGAGACGAAUGUGCUCGAGCAACGAAAUGACGACCAGCUCGGGAAGCAUUUGUGCUCCUGAACUUGAAAUCGGUCAGUCGCGAUGAACGGACGUGUCCUAGUACCCCCCCCCCCCAACAUUCUAUCCUAGGACACUGGCCCUGGAUGUGACAUUCUCAUUGGGUGUGAAGCUCAGCUUGUGGCCAGAACAUUUACUACCACCAAAAGUCAGUGCCAGCAGGUGGAGCCAAUCCAAAAUCAAGAGUAAUAUAUGGACAGAACUAAUCUGGAGUUGAAUAAAGCAAGGCACAACAGCUGUCAUAUUUCAUUCGAAAAUAAAGUUUACUUUGUCAAUAUAUGUAUAUGAUUCAGGAGUUUCAUAUGGUCCCAAAGGGUCAUAACACCCAAAUGUACAGUGCUUCAAGAAAGGUGACAAUACUUCUCACAAUCUUCGGUCCGACACAAUGAAAAGAUCACAAGUCACUCAAAGCACCAAGACGAACAUGUGAUCUAAGCAAAUAGUACCAAUUAUCAAAAGAGAGUAAACUUUUCUACAAAUCUUCAAAACUCAAUGCUACGUCCACUUAUAGACAGCGAGCGAUUUUUCUGUCAAUGUUGUCAGGUAGUGAUUUUCAUUGUAGUUGAAUUGGCACGUA